ensembl:snRNA U6 U6 spliceosomal RNA
GUGCUCAUUUCAGCAGCACUUAUGCUAAAAUUGGAACAAUAGAGAGAUUAGCAUGGUCCUUGUGCAAGGAUAACACACAAAUUCAUAAAGUCUUCUAUAUUUUU